GGGGAUGUAGCUCAAUUGGUAGAGCAUUAUUUAGCGCUAAAUGAAGGCUUGGGGUUUGAUUCCUCGCAUCUCCA